UACGUAGGGCGCAAGCGUUAUCCGGAAUUAUUGGGCGUAAAGAGCUCGUAGGCGGUUUCUCGCGUCUGCCGUGAAAGUCCGGGGCUCAACUCCGGAUCUGCGGUGGGUACGGGCAGACUAGAGUGAUGUAGGGGAGACUGGAAUUCCUGGUGUAGCGGUGAAAUGCGCAGAUAUCAGGAGGAACACCGAUGGCGAAGGCAGGUCUCUGGGCAUUAACUGACGCUGAGGAGCGAAAGCAUGGGGAGCGAACAGG
rnacentral:rRNA from 1 species